rnacentral:rRNA from 1 species
UGGCCCAGAUCGUUUACCGUGAAAAAAUUAGAGUGUUCAAAGCAGGCAGACCAUUUCUUCUGCCACCGAAUACAUUAGCAUGGGAUAAUGGAAUAGGACCCUGUCCUCCUAUUUUGCGUGUUGGUUUUCGAGGACCGGGUAAUGAUUAAUAGGGAUAGUUGGGGGCAUUAAUAUUUAAUUGUCAGAGGUGAAAUUCUUGGAUUUAUGAAAGAUUGACUUCUGCGAAAGCAUCUGCCAAGGAUGUUUUCAUUAAUCAAGAACGAAAGUUAGGGGAUCGAAGACGAUCAGAUACCGUCGUAGUCUUAACCAUAAACGAUGCCGACCAGCGAUUAGGAGACGUUGAAUACAAAACACCACCGUCGGGUCGGCCGUCCUUGGCCGUCGUGCGCGGCGACGCGCGCGGCGGCGAGGGCGGUGUCUGCCCGACGGCCCGGU